rnacentral:rRNA from 1 species
CACGUAGGGGGCAAGCGUUGUCCGGAUUUAUUGGGCGUAAAGAGCUCGUAGGCGGUUCGGUAAGUCGGGUGUGAAACCUCCAGGCUCAACCUGGAGAGGCCACCUGAUACUGCUGUGACUGGAGUCCGGUAGGGGAGCGUGGAAUUCCUGGUGUAGCGGUGAAAUGCGCAGAUAUCAGGAGGAACACCAGCGGCGAAGGCGGCGCUCUGGGCCGGAACUGACGCUGAGGAGCGAAAGCGUGGGUAGCAAACAGG